rnacentral:tRNA from 1 species
AGUUAAUAAGUUUUAUAGAAACAUAUAUUUUGAAAAUAUAAGAAAGAGGAUAAUACCUCUAUUAACUU